rnacentral:lncRNA from 1 species
CAAGACUUGUGAGAGGUAGUUGGCGAAAGUGAUGUGAUGCCGCCAGAAGAGGUUGGAACUCUGGAGAAGUGGAGAAUCAAAGCAGCAGGUAAGUCUUUGUUUGUUAUAAAAACAACAAUCGAAGAAAAAUUGUGUAGCACAUAAGAGACAAGAGUACACCAAAGGAUGCAUAGGACACUUUUCAGCUUCUGGAGAACGAGCUUCUCUCGACCACUUAAGGGAAAUUAACAGUAAGUUGGUACUUUAAUAAAGUUAAAUCUCUCUGUCGAGAAAUUUCAGAAUUAGAUGCUUCAAGUAAAAUUUAGGAGUUUCAAAUGAGAAGAAUAAUCAUACACAGUUUGAGACCCUAAUUUAGAAGUUUUAUUGCCGCAAUACAAGGAUGGCCAGAGCAACUUCCAUUAGUUGAUCUUGAAAAUUUGUUGGCUAAUCAAGAAGCGUAAACCAAGCAAAUGUUAGGGGUCUCAAUAAAGAAAGAAGAGGAAGAAGCACUAUAUAGCUGUAAAAGAAGAGGAAGACACCGUCAACAAAAUAAUCAAGAAUUAAAGGAAAACAAACGUGAAGAAAGUUCUGUGACAAGGAGAGCCAAAUAAAGUUGCAACAAGAGAGAUCAUCUGUCCAAGAGAUUUCAACAAAAUAAUGGCUUGUGCUUUGUAUAUGGACAAUGAGGCCAUUAUGAUAGGGAUUGUUGGUUUAAAAAGGAGCCAGCUGAAGAUAAUGUAGCAACCUCCAACAAGGAAGAUAAAUACAGAGUAGUGAAGAAGAAUGAGAUGCUGAGGCAAGCACAAAACAAU